rnacentral:ncRNA from 2 species
UUCUUAUCAAGAGAAGCUGAGGGACUGGCCCGAUGACGCUUCAGCAACCGGUCAUGCAAGCGCGCGUGCCAAGGUGCUAAAUCCAGCUAAGCGUUUUGCUUGGAAGAUAAGAA